rnacentral:rRNA from 1 species
GACGAACGCUGGCGGCGUGCUUAACACAUGCAAGUCGAACGGAAAGGCCCUGCUUUUGUGGGGUGCUCGAGUGGCGAACGGGUGAGUAACACGUGAGUAACCUGCCCUUGACUUUGGGAUAACUUCAGGAAACUGGGGCUAAUACCGGAUAGGAGCUCCUGCUGCAUGGUGGGGGUUGGAAAGUUUCGGCGGUUGGGGAUGGACUCGCGGCUUAUCAGCUUGCUGGUGGGGUAGUGGCUUACCAAGGCUUUGACGGGUAGCCGGCCUGAGAGGGUGACCGGCCACAUUGGGACUGAGAUACGGCCCAGACUCCUACGGGAGGCAGCAGUGGGGAAUGUUGCACAAUGGGCGGAAGCCUGAUGCAGCAACGCCGCGUGCGGGAUGACGGCCUUCGGGUUGUAAACCGCUUUCGCCUGUGACGAAGCGUGAGUGACGGUAAUGGGUAAAGAAGCACCGGCUAACUACGUG